UGUGUGAGAUCGCAGUGACAGGCUGUCACUGUGAUCUCACAGUGCUGUGAUCGCAGUGACAGCCUGUCACUGCGAUCACAC
rnacentral:miRNA from 1 species